rnacentral:rRNA from 1 species
AAUGAACGCUGGCGGCGUGCCUAAUACAUGCAAGUCGAGCGAACGGACGAGAAGCUUGCUUCUCUUAUGUUAGCGGCGGACGGGUGAGUAACACGUGGAUAACCUACCUAUAAGACUGGGAUAACUUCGGGAAACCGGAGCUAAUACCGGAUAAUAUUUUGAACCGCAUGGUUCAAAAGUGAAAGACGGUCUUGCUGUCACUUAUAGAUGGAUCCGCGCUGCAUUAGCUAGUUGGUAAGGUAACGGCUUACCAAGGCAACGAUGCAUAGCCGACCUGAGAGGGUGAUCGGCCACACUGGAACUGAGACACGGUCCAGACUCCUACGGGAGGCAGCAGUAGGGAAUCUUCCGCAAUGGGCGAAAGCCUGACGGAGCAACGCCGCGUGAGUGAUGAAGGUCUUCGGAUCGUAAAACUCUGUUAUUAGGGAAGAACAUAUGUGUAAGUAACUGUGCACAUCUUGACGGUACCUAAUCAGAAAGCCACGGCUAACUACGUG